GAUGAACGCUGGCGGCGUGCCUAAUACAUGCAAGUCGAGCGAACAGAUGAGGAGCUUGCUCCUCUGACGUUAGCGGCGGACGGGUGAGUAACACGUGGAUAACCUACCUAUAAGACUGGGAUAACUUCGGGAAACCGGAGCUAAUACCGGAUAAUAUAUUGAACCGCAUGGUUCAAUAGUGAAAGACGGUUUUGCUGUCACUUAUAGAUUGAUCCGCGCCGCAUUAGCUAGUUGGUAAGGUAACGGCUUACCAAGGCAACGAUGCGUAGCCGACCUGAGAGGGUGAUCGGCCACACUGGAACUGAGACACGGUCCAGACUCCUACGGGAGGCAGCAGUAGGGAAUCUUCCGCAAUGGGCGAAAGCCUGACGGAGCAACGCCGCGUGAGUGAUGAAGGUCUUCGGAUCGUAAAACUCUGUUAUUAGGGAAGAACAAAUGUGUAAGUACCUAUGCACGUCUUGACGGUACCUAAUCAGAAAGCCACGGCUAACUACGUG
rnacentral:rRNA from 1 species